UUUGGUGGUUAUAGCAUUGGGGUCCACCUCUUUCCAUUUCGAACAGAGUAGUUAAGCCCAAUAGCGCCGAUGGUACUGAGUAAAAUCGGGAGAGUAGGUCGCCGCCUUUU
rfam:Flavobacteriaceae bacterium TJ101, complete genome.